UACGAAGGGGGGCUAGCGUUGCUCGGAAUCACUGGGCGUAAAGGGUGCGUAGGCGGGUCUUUAAGUCAGGGGUGAAAUCCUGGAGCUCAACUCCAGAACUGCCCUUUGAUACUGAAGAUCUUGAGUCCGGGAGAGGUGAGUGGAACUGCGAGUGUAGAGGUGAAAUUCGUAGAUAUUCGCAAGAACACCAAUGGCGAAGGCGGCUCACUGGCCCGGUACUGACGCUGAGGCACGAAAGCGUGGGGAGCAAACAGG
rnacentral:rRNA from 1 species